rnacentral:rRNA from 1 species
AGAAUCAUUAAAGAAAUUUAAUAAUUUUGAUAUUGGAUUUUUUUGUUUUGGCAAGAGCGUGAGAGCUUUUACUGGGCAAGAAGACAAGAGAUGGAGAGUCCAGCCGGGCCUGCGCUUAAGUGCGCGGUCUUGCUAGGCUUGCAAAUUUCUUUCUUGCUAUUCCAAACAGUGAGACUUCUCUGUUUUUGUUAUAGGACAAUUAAAACCGUUUCAAUACAACACACUGUGGAGUUUUUAUACUUUUGCAACUUUUUCUUUGGGCUUCGAGCAAUCGAGCCCAGAGGUAACAAACACAAACAAUUUUAUUUAUUCAUUAAAUUUUUGUCAAAAACAAGAAUUUUCGUAACUGGAAAUUUUAAAAAUAAUUAAAAACUUUCAACAACGGAUCUCUUGGUUCUCGCAUCGAUGAAGAACGCAGCGAAAUGCGAUACGUAAUGUGAAUUGCAGAAUUCCGUGAAUCAUCGAAUCUUUGAACGCACAUUGCGCCCCUUGGUAUUCCAGGGGGCAUGCCUGUUUGAGCGUCAUUUCCUUCUCAAACAUUCUGUUUGGUAGUGAGUGAUACUCUCUGGAGUUAACUUGAAAUUGCUGGCCUUUUCAUUGGAUGUUUUUUUUCCAAAGAGAGGUUUCUCUGCGUGCUUGAGGUAUAAUGCAAGUACGGUCGUUUUAGGUUUUACCAACUGCGGCUAAUCUUUUUUGUACUGAGCGUAUUGAAACGUUAUCGAUAAGAAGAGAGCGUCUAGGCGAACAAUGUUCUUAAAGUUUGACCUCAAAUCAGGUAGGAGUACCCGCUGAACUUAAAGCAUAUCAAUAAGCGGAGGAAAAGAAACCAACCCGGGAUUGCNUUAUAACGGC